ACGGCCGUACCAUGCUGAAUAUACCGGUUCUCGUUAGAUCACCGAAGUCAAGCAUCAUUGGGCGCGGUCAGUACUUGGGUGAGUGACCACCAGGGAACACC